GAAGUUAUCAUAAGCUGAAAAGCCAAAUUAGGAAUAAAAACGCUACGCGAUUGAGCAGAAUGGCUUGCAAUCCUGGUUUUCUCAGAACGAGCCAUAGGUCUACAUAUCACUCAUUGGUGUUCACCCGAGUACAGGGUAUACUAGGCCAAUGAUGUCAGAUGUUCCAAGAUACACUCGGAAAUACCUGACGUAGGUCCAAUGCCGCCAAUUGAGG
rnacentral:lncRNA from 1 species